CGCACAGUAAACGAUGAAUACUAACUGUUUGCGAUACACAGCAAGUGGUACAGUGAAAACGUUAAGUAUUCCACCUGGGGAGUACGCCGGCAACGGUGAAACUCAAAGGAAUUGACGGGGGCCCGCACAAGCGGAGGAACAUGUGGUUUAAUUCGAUGAUACGCGAGGAACCUUACCCGGGCUUGAAUUGCAUUUGAAUAUGGCGGAAACGUUAUAGCCAGCAAUGGCAAAUGUGAAGGUGC
rnacentral:rRNA from 1 species